AGGAGGAGGAGUGUGUGGUGUGGCCCCAGGAGCGCCCUUGGUCAUCGGAUCACUGUGCUGAGGGUGGAGUAGUACUCCGGGUGCCCUGGCAGCAGGGGCCGCUUGAGGGUGCGCCAGGUUUCAUUUCGGUUCUGCCACACAUAAUGCACCAGGUCAGCUACCCUCCAAAGGCAGGGGCCACAUUGGUGCUCCCCUGGGCCCUGCCCCGCCCCACACAGCUCUUCCUCCCCUGCCAGCAGCAGGAGCUCCUGCUCCACCGAGGUCUGGUCGGGUGCCGGGGCCGCACACGAUGCCUGUCCUGGUGCCCGGUGCCAGCCUCACCAGCCUGAGCACUCCCUGGAGGGCACAGUCCCAGUGUCACGGGUUGGCGGAUUGGUUCACUUGGAUCUGCAGCCCCACGAAGGCCUCCACGGGCACCGAGGUCAGCUUUUCAGAGAGGUUGAGAUGGUGCACUGUCCCCGCCAGGAACGAGAAGGCUGCCCCUAAGAAGCGGGCGAGGACAUUACGGGACAGAUGCAGCUCCUCCAGGACAGGUGAAGAGAAAUGAAGCUCACAGGUUGAAAUGAGUGGCCCCAAGGAUUACCAGAAAAGAAGUUAAUGUUUGGAAAGAGAAAAUAAAAGUUCUCUGUGUUUUACUUCCCCUCCCACAGAUAAUAAAAAUUGACAUUUUGUUGUAUUUUUCUCUAAGCAUUUUUUUUCCUUGGCUAUAAAUGCAAAAGUCAUCACAAUAUUUGGUAAACAUUUUCCUCUCAUUCAGUAGUUUCUGAAAACAUGAUUUUAAGUAGUUGUGUAACAUUCUCUCGUGCAGUUGUCCCAUAGUUCA
rnacentral:lncRNA from 1 species